rnacentral:rRNA from 1 species
AUGUUUGCAGGAUCUCCUCGCCGCCGGCUGUGUACACCAUGUCCGAUUCAACCUUGUUUGCCCAUGUUUACUAUGUGGUGUUCAUCGUGUAAACACGGAUCGUUCAGAGCUGAUAAUGAACUGAUUAUGCCCGCUGCUAGAAUGAGGUCGGCAGCCAAUGACAAAGCUGAGGCUGAGAAGAUACUAAACAUGAAAAGAGCAGAAGGAGGAGAAGGUGAGUCCAGGUACUCGGCUAGUGUGGGCAUUGCAAGGCAGCGUCAGGCUAUCGUGGAUGGUCCGAGAGAUGUGUCCUCACUUUCUUGGAGAACGUCCCUGGUACCACUGCAAAGGACAUCAUGGGCAUGGUUCUGGUCACCCAAUACUUUGACACCAUCAAAGAGAUUGGCGCCGCAUCCAAUUCCUAUUCAGUUUUCAUCCCCCAUGGUCCUGGAGCUGUCAAGGAUGUUGUAUCGUAGAUAA